AUACUUACCUGGCAGGGGAGAUACCAUGAUCACAAAGGUGGUUUUCCCAGGGCGAGGCUUAUCCAUUGCACUUCGGAUGUGCUGACCCCUGCGAUUUCCCCAAAUGUGGGAAACUCGACUGCAUAAUUUGUGGUAGUGGGGGACUGCGUUCGCGCUUUCCCCUG
rnacentral:snRNA from 2 species